UGGGGUGUAGCUCAGUGAUAGAGUGUUUACCUCGUAUGCACGAGGUCCUGGAUUUAAUCCCCAGUACUGCAA
rnacentral:tRNA from 1 species